GAUCAUGGCUCAGGAUGAACGCUAGCGGCAGGCCUAACACAUGCAAGUCGAGGGGCAUCACAGGUAGCAAUACCGGGUGGCGACCGGCGCACGGGUGCGUAACGCGUAUGCAACCUACCCAUAACAGGGGGAUAACACUGAGAAAUUGGUACUAAUACCCCAUAACAUCAGAACCGGCAUCGGUUUUGGUUGAAAACUCCGGUGGUUAUGGAUGGGCAUGCGUUGUAUUAGCUGGUUGGUGAGGUAACCGG
rnacentral:rRNA from 1 species